rnacentral:rRNA from 1 species
GGUUAAGCGACUAAGCGUACACGGUGGAUGCCCUGGCAGUCAGAGGCGAUGAAGGACGUGCUAAUCUGCGAUAAGCGUCGGUAAGGUGAUAUGAACCGUUAUAACCGGCGAUUUCCGAAUGGGGAAACCCAGUGUGUUUCGACACACUAUCAUUAACUGAAUCCAUAGGUUAAUGAGGCGAACCGGGGGAACUGAAACAUCUAAGUACCCCGAGGAAAAGAAAUCAACCGAGAUUCUCCCAGUAGCGGCGAGCGAACGGGGAGCAGCCCAGAGCCUGAAUCAGUGUGUGUGUUAGUGGAAGCGUCUGGAAAGGCGCGCGAUACAGGGUGACAGCCCCGUACACAAAAAUGCACAUGCUGUGAGCUCGAUGAGUAGGGCGGGACACGUGGUAUCCUGUCUGAAUAUGGGGGGACCAUCCUCCAAGGCUAAAUACUCCUGACUGACCGAUAGUGAACCAGUACCGUGAGGGAAAGGCGAAAAGAACCCCGGCGAGGGGAGUGAAAAAGAACCUGAAACCGUGUACGUACAAGCAGUGGGAGCACGCUUAGGCGUGUGACUGCGUACCUUUUGUAUAAUGGGUCAGCGACUUAUAUUCUGUAGCAAGGUUAACCGAAUAGGGGAGCCGAAGGGAAACCGAGUCUUAACUGGGCGUUAAGUUGCAGGGUAUAGACCCGAAACCCGGUGAUCUAGCCAUGGGCAGGUUGAAGGUUGGGUAACACUAACUGGAGGACCGAACCGACUAAUGUUGAAAAAUUAGCGGAUGACUUGUGGCUGGGGGUGAAAGGCCAAUCAAACCGGGAGAUAGCUGGUUCUCCCCGAAAGCUAUUUAGGUAGCGCCUCGUGAAUUCAUCUCCGGGGGUAGAGCACUGUUUCGGCAAGGGGGUCAUCCCGACUUACCAACCCGAUGCAAACUGCGAAUACCGGAGAAUGUUAUCACGGGAGACACACGGCGGGUGCUAACGUCCGUCGUGAAGAGGGAAACAACCCAGACCGCCAGCUAAGGUCCCAAAGUCAUGGUUAAGUGGGAAACGAUGUGGGAAGGCCCAGACAGCCAGGAUGUUGGCUUAGAAGCAGCCAUCAUUUAAAGAAAGCGUAAUAGCUCACUGGUCGAGUCGGCCUGCGCGGAAGAUGUAACGGGGCUAAACCAUGCACCGAAGCUGCGGCAGCGACACUAUGUGUUGUUGGGUAGGGGAGCGUUCUGUAAGCCUGUGAAGGUGUGCUGUGAGGCAUGCUGGAGGUAUCAGAAGUGCGAAUGCUGACAUAAGUAACGAUAAAGCGGGUGAAAAGCCCGCUCGCCGGAAGACCAAGGGUUCCUGUCCAACGUUAAUCGGGGCAGGGUGAGUCGACCCCUAAGGCGAGGCCGAAAGGCGUAGUCGAUGGGAAACAGGUUAAUAUUCCUGUACUUGGUGUUACUGCGAAGGGGGGACGGAGAAGGCUAUGUUGGCCGGGCGACGGUUGUCCCGGUUUAAGCGUGUAGGCUGGUUUUCCAGGCAAAUCCGGAAAAUCAAGGCUGAGGCGUGAUGACGAGGCACUACGGUGCUGAAGCAACAAAUGCCCUGCUUCCAGGAAAAGCCUCUAAGCAUCAGGUAACAUCAAAUCGUACCCCAAACCGACACAGGUGGUCAGGUAGAGAAUACCAAGGCGCUUGAGAGAACUCGGGUGAAGGAACUAGGCAAAAUGGUGCCGUAACUUCGGGAGAAGGCACGCUGAUAUGUAGGUGAAGUCCCUCGCGGAUGGAGCUGAAAUCAGUCGAAGAUACCAGCUGGCUGCAACUGUUUAUUAAAAACACAGCACUGUGCAAACACGAAAGUGGACGUAUACGGUGUGACGCCUGCCCGGUGCCGGAAGGUUAAUUGAUGGGGUUAGCCGCAAGGCGAAGCUCUUGAUCGAAGCCCCGGUAAACGGCGGCCGUAACUAUAACGGUCCUAAGGUAGCGAAAUUCCUUGUCGGGUAAGUUCCGACCUGCACGAAUGGCGUAAUGAUGGCCAGGCUGUCUCCACCCGAGACUCAGUGAAAUUGAACUCGCUGUGAAGAUGCAGUGUACCCGCGGCAAGACGGAAAGACCCCGUGAACCUUUACUAUAGCUUGACACUGAACAUUGAGCCUUGAUGUGUAGGAUAGGUGGGAGGCUUAGAAGUGUGGACGCCAGUCUGCAUGGAGCCGACCUUGAAAUACCACCCUUUAAUGUUUGAUGUUCUAACGUUGACCCGUAAUCCGGGUUGCGGACAGUGUCUGGUGGGUAGUUUGACUGGGGCGGUCUCCUCCUAAAGAGUAACGGAGGAGCACGAAGGUUGGCUAAUCCUGGUCGGACAUCAGGAGGUUAGUGCAAUGGCAUAAGCCAGCUUGACUGCGAGCGUGACGGCGCGAGCAGGUGCGAAAGCAGGUCAUAGUGAUCCGGUGGUUCUGAAUGGAAGGGCCAUCGCUCAACGGAUAAAAGGUACUCCGGGGAUAACAGGCUGAUACCGCCCAAGAGUUCAUAUCGACGGCGGUGUUUGGCACCUCGAUGUCGGCUCAUCACAUCCUGGGGCUGAAGUAGGUCCCAAGGGUAUGGCUGUUCGCCAUUUAAAGUGGUACGCGAGCUGGGUUUAGAACGUCGUGAGACAGUUCGGUCCCUAUCUGCCGUGGGCGCUGGAGAACUGAGGGGGGCUGCUCCUAGUACGAGAGGACCGGAGUGGACGCAUCACUGGUGUUCGGGUUGUCAUGCCAAUGGCACUGCCCGGUAGCUAAAUGCGGAAGAGAUAAGUGCUGAAAGCAUCUAAGCACGAAACUUGCCCCGAGAUGAGUUCUCCCUGACUCCUUGAGAGUCCUGAAGGAACGUUGAAGACGACGACGUUGAUAGGCCGGGUGUGUAAGCGCAGCGAUGCGUUGAGCUAACCGGUACUAAUGAACCGUGAGGCUUAACCUU